AUGGUAGAUGCCGUUAGACUGGUAUUUUUCCAAAAAGAACCUUCCUCCCAAUCCCUCCCCUACCCAAUCCAUAUUGUCACCGAGCUUCCCUCCUCGCGCCAGCUGAUGUUGUCGCCGGCGGCGUGCAUGCAGGGACAUGGCGAAGUGCGCCAGAGAGCGAUGUCGGAGACGUGGAGCAGCUGCUCCGGCUGGGCCACCGGACCUCGCGCUAGUCUGCCGCGAGCAAGUCAUCCGGGAGCGGCGGCGGGGCUCGUCUACGCAGCCGCUUGGUGUGGCGACCUGCCGGAGCUGCAGGACGCCUGCACCCUCCUCACCGCCAAGUUCGGCAGAGCUGCUCCGGCUGGGCCACCGGACCUCGCGCUAGUCCGCCGCGAGCAGGUCAUCCGGGAGCGGCGGCGGGGCUCGUCUACGCAGCCGCCUGGUGUGGCGACCUGCCGGAGCUGCAGGACGCCUGCGCCCUCCUCGCCGCCAAGUUCGGCAGAGCUGCAGCGCCAGAGCCCUACUUCGCGGCGCCGCCGGAGACCCACUUUGCACCACCGCCAAGUCCCUGCAUCCCCGCGCGCCACCAACCUACGACGGGGCUCGCACCAACCUCCCGGCUGCCCCCGCCUGCUUGCGCCUUGGCUGCCUCCUCCCGGUGGCGCCAGGAGUUUCGUUAGGCCAGGGGAGGGCGUGGCGGCGGUAGGUGACGCUGGGGGGAGGGUGGACGACGGCGCAAGGUGGUGCUGGGGUCCGGUGGCGCCAGGAGUUGCGUCAGGCCGGGGGAGGGCGUGGCGGCGGCAGGUGACGCUGGGGGAGGGUGGACGACGGCGCAAGGACGCGCGUCAGGCCGGGGGAGGGGGUGGCGGCGGCGGGUGA
rnacentral:rRNA from 1 species